UGGUAUAUUGUUCAGCCGUCUGUGAAAAAUAAGACGCCAAGCGUAUUUUUGCACGUAGCCUCGCUAGUGAUUCACUUGGUCACGACAUCUUGGAAAUGGGCUCUACGACUGGUCCCCACACGUUGCGCGUUCUGGGUACUUUGAACCAACAGAAGUAAAAAGAGGGCUUGGGAAGAAGACGAGGAGACUAGCUCUCAAUCUCCCUUGGUCAAAAUAUUCUCUAUACACCACAGGUAGCCCGCCAAAGUAACAAACGAGUGGCCAACUUAAGGGAGAUGUGGGGGAAGCUGUGGAUCGUUAUAAAAGAGAAUUCAAGCUGGAAAGGAACGUGCAAAGGCAGGGCCCGUGUAAGCGGAAAUGGUUCUAGAUUUAGAUAUUGCUCAUCCUAAAGGCAAGGAGAUUUCGACAUAAGAGGGGUUGAGUGCCAAACACUUUGAUUCGGGAAAAUACUCUUUGUCCCCCAUUAGUCUCUAGAGACUAAAUACAUUGACACGUUAAUAAAGGUUGAUUGAUUGAUUGAUU